AUAUUAAUACUGCUGUAGUUAAAACGCCCGUAGUAUACCUAAGAGUGGGUGUGUAGUAAUUAGUUUUACCAGAGGACGGUUGGCGAGAGUUUAUCACUCUUGUUUGCCUACUUUUGGUAGACUUUAGUCGGGCUGGACCUUUGGUCCUCGUCUGACAGUUGCUACGUGCUUACUUACCACGGUUCAUCCGUGAGGCCCUUGGCUUGCAACUGUAAAUAAAUCGUUGUGCUUAAAGCGGGCUAUGAUACUCUGCCAGAGCGAUUUAGCAUGGGACUGCAGAGUAGCUGUAUUUGGGUGAAGGUUGUGUUUCGGCAUGGCUGGAGCCUGGUACAGCGCUUGUAAUGGAGCUCAGGGUGAGGCCCCGGGUACCAUGAGGCUAGAGGUGAAAUUCUGAGACCCUCAUGUGACCAACUAAGGCGAAAGCUGUCGUGGGCCACCACAAGCUCGUCUAUCAGGGACGAAAGUUGGGGGAUCGAAGACGAUUAGAUACCGUCGUAGUCCCAACUAUAAACGAUACCAACCGAGUAUUUGGGAAGACACUAUCCCAGCGAUCUUCUCAGAACUCAAGGGAAACCUUAAGUCUUUGGGUUCUGGGGGGAGUAUAGUCGCAAGACCGAAACUUAAAGGAAUUGACGGAAAGGCACCACCAGGAGUGGAGUCUGCG
rnacentral:rRNA from 1 species